CAAGUCUCAUGCCGCCCCUCUCUUCAACCAAUAACCCUUGCCCAUCGCCCACAGCCCCACACCCACGGUACAGAGUAAUGACUCACGAGUCUAUAACCCACGCUUGCUAUGCCACACCCAUAGUACAUAGUCAUGACUCACGAGUACCUCUGUAACCCACGCAGUGGCACAACAUCAGCCUAGAGAUCUCUCUGUCUCAAACUCUCAUGGUGGCCUAAGCCAUCGGCAUCCUCCUCACACAAAGGCAUAGAGCUCUUCGCGGCAUCCUAGACCAUUGGUCUCCCCUUCUCUCUUCUUCUAGAGAUCUUCAACCAGCUCAAAGCCUCAACCUAUGGAUCUUCACACAAAGAUGAGUGAGGCAGCAGGUGAAAAUGACGAUUUGAUUGACUUCAACAUGCUGGACUUAGAAAGGGUUGAGACAGGAUGUUCCCACUUAAUGAAAUUCUACUUUUCUUAUAUUUGAGAGUGCUAUUUUUUAUCGUAGUGCCUUUAAUCAUUUAGAGUUGACUGAUUCCAAUUUUAAGCAUUGUUCACCAACAUUUGAGUGGGAAAAAUUGGAGAAGAUUAACAGUUUAUUGGGAGUAUUUUGCGAUGCCACUUGUGACUUUUCUGGAACCUAAUAUUCUGCAGCCAAUUUAUACUUUCCAACAGUGUUUUUGAUUUAUUUGACAUUAAAUAAGCACUCUGAAAGUGAAGAUGAUUACAUAAAGAAAAUGUCUUGUUAAAUGCUUGCUAAGUUUGAGAAAUAUUAGUUUGAGUUCAAUGUAUUGUUGGCUAUAGCAGUUAUAUUGGAUUUUCGUUACAAGCUUCAUUUUGUUGAUUUUUCUUAUAAGAAACUUUAUGGAAAUGGUUCUCUAAAGUAUUUUUAUUAUUUAGAAUGUACUUUUUGACGUCUUGUUAGUUUUGUUUAUUUUUUAUAGAUACUGUUUAUGUUUUAAUAUUUAUAUAAAAUCAAUUAGGUCAAAUGGGUUGAAACGGGUUUGUUCAACUCAUUAACAUAAAUGGGUCGGAUCAAUCUAUUUCGUAUUCACUAAUGGGUCAAAACGGGUCGUGUCAAUCUGUUAUGUUAAUGAAUCGUGUUAAGGUUUGAGAUUUUGACACGAUAGUCCUAACGGGUCGUGUUCAAUUUGAUCCAUAUAGUAUGAUGUAUAUGUCUUGACAUGACCCGUAAACAUGAUUUGUGAGUUCACACAUCUCUAUGGCCUCCAUUUUCCACCUCUGUUCCAUUAUUUUAUAUAUUAUGUCAAUAAUGAAACAUAAAAAUUUUAAUAUGGAAUUGUAACUUCGUUGCAGCAAGUCACCAAAAUCAUCAUUUUAAAUAUUUUAUAUUAUUUAUUCUAGUGUAUUUAUUAGUCUUUAUUACUCAAUAAAAAAUGAAAGAAUAUACUUUGAGUUGUAAUGUUGGUAUAAUUCAAGGGUUUGGUAGUGACUAUUCUUCUCUUAUUGUGAAAAUGGAGAAGUUUUAGAGUUUUCCAACCCCUUUAUCCACAAAUAUACAAAAUCCUACCCAUUUCGUCUCACUUUUAUUCAAGAAAUCCAAAAAAUCAUCUAGCAAUCAAUCGUGGUAUGGAAACACUUUACUAAAUUGAAACUUAUUGACCGUGGUAAUCUGAAAGCCCAGCGCAAUUAUUGCGCUAAGCUAUUCAAUUACUACUACAAGAAACGCUUCAUCCAUGAUGCACCGCGUCCAUAAUGAAUGUGAAACUUCUCCUCUUAGAAUUAAAAGAGUUCAAAAAAGUCAAAUAUCUAAUGUUAAGAAGGAUGCAGAGAGAAGUAUGUAUGGUCCACAAGAACUUGUGAACUAUGAUGCAAAACAAUUUAAUGUGCCGUGCCCACCACUAAAUUUUUAUUAUGUGUGAAUUGCUUCUAUGCCACAAUACAAAAAUAAUGAUAAUGAAGUUUUGGUUAAAAAAUUACCGAGGGCACGAGUUGGUGGAUAGGAUAGAGACUAAGGGAGGCCAAACACUACAUCUACAAACAUUGGUAAUGAAUCAACACUACCUCUACAUAGAUUUGAUGUCAUGUUAGACAAAUAUCUUGAGGAGUAGGAUUUUAUGGAGUUUAGAUCAAGGCUAGAGAGGUAUUUGUAUGAGGGGUGUGUUAAAAACGGUUUUAAUAUUUUAGAUUGGUGAAGAGUUAAUGCCGUCAAUUAUCAUUUUUUGUUGAGGUAGCACGAUGUGUUAGCCACCCAUAUUUUUAUUGUUGUAUCGGAGUCCACAUUUAGUAAUGGAGGACAUAUCUUGGAUCUUUUUAUGAGUUCAUCGUCUUAGUCCUCAUUUGCACCAGCCAAAAUUGGCAAAUGAUCGAAUCAGUCGACAUCUGUGAGUUGGAUGAAUGUGUAUAGUCAAUUGACCUUGAAGGUAAAUUUUUAUAUAAAUUACUAGAAACUUUAAAAUCUUGUUUAUAUUAAUUUAUUAUCCAUUUAACUUAGUUUUUUAAUAUUUAUUCUAGAUGAUGGUCUAGCUUAUCUUCAACGUGAGCUAAAAGCACUUUUUCAAAAGGUAGUCUCAAACAGCAAGUUGGAAAUAUAGGCUGAUGCUGUGAAGGAUUAUGAGAUCUUGAGGAGGGAACUGCCUGACGACAAUGAAGUUGCAGAAUCAUUCUUCCAUGCUCAAGUUGCAUUGAAGAAAUCUCGUGGGGAAGAAGUCCAUUAUAUGAAGUUUGGGGGUGAAGUGGAAAAGGUAUCAAGUCCAUAAGAUUUUUGAAAGCUGCCUCUGAUUUGCAAAGCAGGCAAAUAGAGCAUCCUCGGGUUAGCUAGCUGAUCACCAUUCUCCAUCCAAGCAAAGAAAAAUCCAGAUACUUCAGGAUGCUAGUGGAAUCAUCAAACCAUCAAGAUAUCUUUUUGAAAUGGUAGUUGAUUUCAGUUCUCUCCCUGUUUCAAUUUCUGGGAGAGUCAGCAACUGUGGUCAUGAAUUAAAUGAAUUUAUUCCUUAAGACAGAAAUGCCAGUGGGAAGUACUACACAAAUGGAGGGAAGUUUUUUGGGGCACAGUUCUUCAGUUUGAUUAACGUGAUGUUCAAUGGGAUGGCAGAGAUUGCUUUCAGGCUUCCUAUGUUCUAUAAACAGUGGGAUUUCAUGUUCUAUCCAGCAUUAUUGGCUUUUGGCUUACCCAUUUGGGUCAACAGGAUCCCUCUAUCGUUCAUGGAAUCAACAAUAUCAGAUUAUUUUUCCUCUCCCACUGCUGAGAAAUCGCCGCUGUUUGGAGCUACAAAAAUUCCCUCACCGACGUCAUAGCUAGCUAGCGCCCAAACAGUGUUGUUUCCGCUCUUUAAUUUUCACGAGCCACGCACCCGAACUUAGGUUGUGACAUUGAUAGAGCUCAGGUCCAAAGCUUAAGUAACUCUCUGCAAGAGUUAGAUGAUUUUGAUGGUUCAAUUGAGGAUCAGUGAUAGAAUGCAUGGGCAAAAUUAGCUAUGGAUGGUGAUUGAGUACCUUGGGGUAUUGAUGAUGUUGGAUGAGUUCAUUUUUAGUAGAUGGUUUAUGGAGACAUGUAAACUUUAAUUUGUUUUGUGAUGUUCUUUUAGACAUGUCGAGAAGUUGAUCUAUGCUAUUUGAGUUUCUGUAUGGAGAAUUAUAAUAUGAAUAUGUGUGGUCAAUUAAAAUGGAAGUAUUUCUGUUGUGA